UACGGAGGGUGCAAGCGUUAUCCGGAUUUACUGGGUUUAAAGGGUGCGCAGGCGGAUAUGUAAGUCAGUGGUGAAAUCUUUGGGCUUAACCCGAAAAUUGCCAUUGAUACUAUAUAUCUUGAAUGCUGUGGAGGUAAGCGGAAUAUGUCAUGUAGCGGUGAAAUGCUUAGAUAUACAUAGAACACCUAUUGCGAAGGCAGCUUACUACGCAGAUAUUGACGCUCAUGCACGAAAGCGUGGGGAUCAAACAGG
rnacentral:rRNA from 1 species